rnacentral:ncRNA from 2 species
UAAGUAAAUCGGGUGACCGCUCUGAUUCAUAGAAAUCAGGGAGGAAAGUCCGAGCUCUACCGGGCAGGGUGCUGGGUAACGCCCAGGAGGGGUGACCCUACGGAAAGUGCCACAGAAACAUACCGCUCUUUGUAUUAAGAGUAAGG